CACGUAGGCACCAAGCGUUGUCCGGAUUUAUUGGGCGUAAAGAGCUCGUAGGCGGUUCGAUAAGUCGGGUGUGAAAACUUUGGGCUCAACCCAAAGCGUGCAUUCGAUACUGGUGUGACUAGAGUUCGGUAGGGGAGUGGGGAAUUCCUAGUGUAGCGGUGAAAUGCGCAGAUAUUAGGAGGAACACCGGUGGCGAAGGCGCCACUCUGGGCCGAAACUGACGCUGAGGUGCGAAAGCGUGGGGAGCAAACAGG
rnacentral:rRNA from 1 species